rnacentral:misc_RNA from 1 species
AAGGAUCAUUACAAAUCCACGUCUCUUUUGAGACUUGUUGAAAUGUUGAAGUGAAGGGUGGGGGUAAAAGGGGGAGACUCUCUAGAUUAUCUUCUUGAUAUCUCUGGAUAUAUCCGCUUAACCCUCGCUCGUCCUUCUACCCAUUUACUUUAUAUGUUGAUCAGUUUUAUACAUAAAUUUAACACAACUUAUAACAAUGGAUCUCUAGGCUCUU